GAUGAACGCUAGCGGCAGGCUUAAUACAUGCAAGUCGAGGGGCAGCACGGUUAGCAAUAACUGGUGGCGACCGGCGCACGGGUGCGUAACACGUAUACAAUCUACCUUAAACAGGGGAUAGCCUUUCGAAAGAGAGAUUAAUACCCCGUAAUAAAUUGAACGGCAUCGUUUGAUUUUGAAAGCUCCGGCGGUUUGAGAUGAGUAUGCGUCUGAUUAGCUAGUUGGUGAGGUAACGGCUCACCAAGGCGACGAUCAGUAGGGGAUCUGAGAGGACUAACCCCCCACACUGGUACUGAGACACGGACCAGACUCCUACGGGAGGCAGCAGUAAGGAAUAUUGGUCAAUGGAGGCAACUCUGAACCAGCCAUGCCGCGUGCAGGAUGACGGCCCUAUGGGUUGUAAACUGCUUUUAUACAAGAGAAAACCCUGGUACGUGUACCAGGUUGAUAGUAUUGUAAGAAUAAGCAUCGGCUAACUUCGUGCCAGCAGCCGCGGUAU
rnacentral:rRNA from 1 species